rnacentral:rRNA from 1 species
UACGUAGGGUACAAGCGUUAAUCGGAAUUACUGGGCGUAAAGCGUGCGUAGGCGGUUUGUUAAGUCCGUUGUGAAAGCCCUGGGCUCAACCUGGGAAUUGCAGUGGAUACUGGCGAGCUAGAGUGCGGUAGAGGAAGGUGGAAUUCCCGGUGUAGCGGUGAAAUGCGUAGAGAUCGGGAGGAACACCCGUGGCGAAGGCGGCCAUCUGGACCAGCACUGACGCUGAGGCACGAAAGCGUGGGGAGCAAACAGG